GUAGGUGGCAAGCGUUGUCCGGAAUUAUUGGGCGUAAAGCGCGCGCAGGCGGUUCUUUAAGUCUGAUGUGAAAGCCCACGGCUCAACCGUGGAGGGUCAUUGGAAACUGGAGAACUUGAGUACAGAAGAGGAAAGCGGAAUUCCACGUGUAGCGGUGAAAUGCGUAGAGAUGUAGAGGAACACCAGUGGCGAAGGCGGCUUUCUGGUCUGUAACUGACGCUGAGGCGCGAAAGCGUGGGGAGCAAACAGGGAUUAGAUACCCUGGUAGUCCACGCCGUAAACGAUGAGUGCUAAGUGUUAGGGGGGUUUCCGCCCCCUUAGUGCUGCAGCUAACGCAUUAAGCACUCCGCCUGGGGAGUACGGCCGCAAGGCUG
rnacentral:rRNA from 1 species